rnacentral:rRNA from 1 species
CAAGCGGUGGAGCAUGUGGUUUAAUUCGAAGCGACGCGAAGAACCUUACCAGGUCUUGACAUACCAUUGACCGUUCUAGAGAUAGGAUUUUCCCUUCGGGGACAAUGGAUACAGGUGGUGCAUGGUUGUCGUCAGCUCGUGUCGUGAGAUGUUGGGUUAAGUCCCGCAACGAGCGCAACCCCUGUCGUUAGUUGCCAGCAUUCAGUUGGGGACUCUAACGAGACUGCCAGUGACAAACUGGAGGAAGGUGGGGAUGACGUCAAAUCAUCAUGCCCCUUAUGACCUGGGCUACACACGUGCUACAAUGGUUGGUACAAAGAGAAGCGAAGCGGUGACGUGGAGCAAACCUCAUAAAGCCAAUCUCAGUUCGGAUUGUAGGCUGCAACUCGCCUACAUGAAGUUGGAAUCGCUAGUAAUCGCGAAUCAGAAUGUCGCGGUGAAUACGUUCCCGGGUCUUGUACACACC